rnacentral:lncRNA from 1 species
UUGCUUGGUUACCAUAGUAUCCUCUGCCUCCAAGUCUCUCCUGAUGAUGUCAGUAUGCAUACAGGGGUUGUUCAGAUCAUCUACGUGGGGAUGAUUCACCCCACAAUAAAGCCCCUCUCUCUCGUUGCUCGCUUUCCAGUGUGAUUUCAGACAUCUGUAGCAAUGGAAGGUUCUGAAUGAUGACUGACGCGGGUUUGGGUGAUACCCCUCACAGCCCCUGUCAUUCCGGAGUCAUAAGGCACCCGCGCGUCUAGCCCCAGCGCCAGGGCACGCGAGCGGCGCUGGAGGGAGGAAAGCUUCCGCCUGCGGGCCGGACAAAAGUCCCGCCUGCCCACGGCUUUUUGCCCGCCGCUCGUGACCGAGACGCCUCGCCGCGGCCAGCUCGCUGCUCUCGCUGGCGGAUGGUGUGUGGCCGCCGCAGGACGCCCGCCGUGCCCGGGCCAUGAAGUAGCGGCUGCUGGCGGCGCCGCUGCCCAACCGCCAGCCCCAGCCCCGCGCUGCGCUGCCCGGUCCUCUCCCGGCGGGGUCGUAUCGGCGUG